rnacentral:rRNA from 1 species
AUGAAACUAACAAUCAUUUUCGCAAAUAUUCAAAGAAACCAUGGCCACACAUUUGCAAAUAUCUUGCGUUCUUGCUUACCCCUAACGUGUAAGAACCAUAGGUCAGGACCGCAGCCGUCCCUCGCCUCGGGGGAACCCUCUCCUCACACGCCACCGCCUUGGCCCAAUCCGUCACAAUCUGCAAGAGCAAGAAGCGAAAACAGAACAAAUCAGGAACUCCAGCCUGACGCACAUGCCUGCAAUAUCCGAUUUUUCCAAGCCGGAAUCUCCAUGUCCCAAUACCUUCUUGAGCUCGCGGAUGACCUGCUCCCUCGUCUCCUACUCCUCGGGUGUUGGGAUGACCCCCUUGUCCGUCAAGAACUGCAUCAUCCCCAAGAAAAGGAAAGCACGAGAUUACUCAGAGAUAACCGGAGACAACAGAGAAACCAGAGGAAUUCGCGGCCGACGGGGGGCUCACCUGGACGAGGAAGUGGGUCCUUCCCUCCUGGCGCUAGAGGAGAAGGGGUGUCGGGGGCGGCGAGAGGGGGCUGA